rnacentral:rRNA from 1 species
GAGUGAAAUAGAACCUGAAACCGUGUGCUUACAAGUAGUCAGAGCCCGUUAAUGGGUGAUGGCGUGCCUUUUGUAGAAUGAACCGGCGAGUUACGAUUUGAUGCAAGGUUAAGCAGUAAAUGUGGAGCCGUAGCGAAAGCGAGUCUGAAUAGGGCGUUUAGUAUUUGGUCGUAGACCCGAAACCAGGUGAUCUACCCUUGGUCAGGUUGAAGUUCAGGUAACACUGAAUGGAGGACCGAACCGACUUACGUUGAAAAGUGAGCGGAUGAACUGAGGGUAGCGGAGAAAUUCCAAUCGAACCUGGAGAUAGCUGGUUCUCUCCGAAAUAGCUUUAGGGCUAGCCUCAAGUGAUGAUUAUUGGAGGUAGAGCACUGUUUGGACGAGGGGCCCCUCUCGGGUUACCGAAUUCAGACAAACUCCGAAUGCCAAUUAAUUUAACUUGGGAGUCAGAACAUGGGUGAUAAGGUCCGUGUUCGAAAGGGAAACAGCCCAGACCACCAGCUAAGGUCCCAAAAUAUAUGUUAAGUGGAAAAGGAUGUGGCGUUGCCCAGACAACUAGGAUGUUGGCUUAGAAGCAGCCAUCAUUUAAAGAGUGCGUAAUAGCUCACUAGUCGAGUGACACUGCGCCGAAAAUGUACCGGGGCUAAACAUAUUACCGAAGCUGUGGAUUGUCCUUUGGACAAUGGUAGGAGAGCGUUCUAAGGGCGUUGAAGCAUGAUCGUAAGGACAUGUGGAGCGCUUAGAAGUGAGAAUGCCGGUGUGAGUAGCGAAAGACGGGUGAGAAUCCCGUCCACCGAUUGACUAAGGUUUCCAGAGGAAGGCUCGUCCGCUCUGGGUUAGUCGGGUCCUAAGCUGAGGCCGACAGGCGUAGGCGAUGGAUAACAGGUUGAUAUUCCUGUACCACCUAUAAUCGUUUUAAUCGAUGGGGGGACGCAGUAGGAUAGGCGAAGCGUGCGAUUGGAUUGCACGUCUAAGCAGUAAGGCUGAGUAUUAGGCAAAUCCGGUACUCGUUAAGGCUGAGCUGUGAUGGGGAGAAGACAUUGAGUCUUCGAGUCGUUGAUUUCACACUGCCGAGAAAAGCCUCUAGAUAGAAAAUAGGUGCCCGUACCGCAAACCGACACAGGCAGUCAAGAUGAGAAUUCUAAGGUGAGCGAGCGAACUCUCGUUAAGGAACUCGGCAAAAUGACCCCGUAACUUCGGGAGAAGGGGUGCUCUUUAGGGUUAACGCCCAGAAGAGCCGCAGUGAAUAGGCCCAAGCGACUGUUUAUCAAAAACACAGGUCUCUGCUAAACCGUAAGGUGAUGUAUAGGGGCUGACGCCUGCCCGGUGCUGGAAGGUUAAGAGGAGUGGUUAGCUUCUGCGAAGCUACGAAUCGAAGCCCCAGUAAACGGCGGCCGUAACUAUAACGGUCCUAAGGUAGCGAAAUUCCUUGUCGGGUAAGUUCCGACCCGCACGAAAGGCGUAACGAUUUGGGCACUGUCUCAACGAGAGACUCGGUGAAAUCAUAGUACCUGUGAAGAUGCAGGUUACCCGCGACAGGACGGAAAGACCCCGUGGAGCUUUACUGUAGCCUGAUAUUGAAAUUCGGCACAGCUUGUACAGGAUAGGUAGGAGCCUUUGAAACGUGAGCGCUAGCUUACGUGGAGGCGCUGGUGGGAUACUACCCUAGCUGUGUUGGCUUUCUAACCCGCACCACUUAUCGUGGUGGGAGACAGUGUCA